GCCCCCGGACGAUUGUUGCCGAAGGCCAGGCGAGCAUUUCCGAGUGCGCUCGGCUCCUUCCGCCAGCCCCCGCGCCCCUCCCAACGCGCAGGAGCCGAGGUCCCUGGCUUCAGAAUAGUACACUUUUGCUUUCUGAAAAUUCUUGCUGCACCCUGUGAAUUGCUGAGACCUGCUGAUUAUAUAUUUCAAGAACCUCCAAACCCUUCAGAUUUGCCAAGAAACUUACCUUUAUAAAGGCAAGACUUUUCACCUGUUUUGCUCACUGCUGCAUCCCCAGUGCCUAGAACAGCUGCUGAGAGAUGAGGGGAAGGUAAGUUUUGGUUUCCUGGUUUUCUAUACUUGCCACCUAAACAGUAUUCAUUGACACACACCCCUUUUCUGUAUUUUUCUUUAACUUCGUAUUAUGGGAAACUUCAAAUAUAUACAAAGUAGAGAAAAUA